AUAAACGCUGGCGGCGCACAUAAGACAUGCAAGUCGAACGGAAGUCGUUAUACUGAUUUGAAACGAACGGAGAACUUGUCAAAGGGACUAGAUGAAGAUUAUAACAAUGGCUUUAGUGGCGGACUGGUGAGUAAUACGUAAGCAACCUGCCUAUUAGAGGGGAACAACAGUUAGAAAUGACUGCUAAUACCGCAUAUGCCAUGAGUAUCGCAUGAUACAAGUGGGAAAGGAGUAAUCCGCUAAUAGAUGGGCUUACGGCUGAUUAGCUAGUUGGUGGGGUAACGGCCUACCAAGGCGACGAUCAGUAGCCGGACUGAGAGGUUGAACGGCCACAUUGGGACUGAGAUACGGCCCAGACUCCUACGGGAGGCAGCAGUCGGGAAUUUUGCGCAAUGGAGGAAACUCUGACGCAGUGACGCCGCGUGCAGGAAGAAGGUUUUCGGAUUGUAAACUGCUUUAGACAGGGAAGAAAAAGGACAGUACCUGUAGAAUAAGCUCCGGCUAACUACGUGCCAGCAGCGGC
rnacentral:rRNA from 1 species